rnacentral:lncRNA from 1 species
CUUAAUGGGCCUUGGCUAGUCCAGCCCACUAAGAGGACCUUUGGCCCAGAGCUGGGGGCUAUAAAUACUCUCCCUCUUGGGAGAGCAAGGUAGACACUAUUCAUUAUUGCAAUCUCUCUCUCUCUCUAACUUCUCUCUAAGUACCUCUUUGCUCUCUUACUGACUUAAGCAUCGGAGCACCUGCAGGUACAACCCCCCCCUCCGUGGACCAUCUGCUUGGACCUGCUGCCCUAUCACCUGCUCAACGGACUUCCAGCUGGCCUUCUACCUGUUCUGAUCAACAGUUAAGAUCA